AGAUCACAAGGAAAGGAACGGUAGGGCGCGCGUGGAAAAGCUGCACGUUGCGGGGAGGACUCACGGAGUAAGGCUGCUGUCUGCUUUGGUCGGCAAAGCUUCUUUUUGCUGUGGGUAGUGACUACUGCAGAGACUCAUACAUGAUCCAGAUGCUGAAGGUGUCUACCCUCCAGAAAGAGAAUGUUGGGAAGCCUUCUGGGUUAAAGAAGGAAGGAUGAAAGAUGGUCCCUUACACAUAGGACAAACAAGACAAGCAAGAUUUCUCUAAUCACAAAUCAUUUACAUGAUUAUGACUACAUGAUUAAGGCUUGGUAUCCAAAACAUGUCAAGAACCCUGGAACUCAACGAUAGAAUCCUUGCCCCAAAUUCAUGAGGACCUGGGUUUGCUCUCCAGCACUGCAGGAACUCUUCCAAGUCAAUAAUAAAUUGACUAAUUGC